rnacentral:rRNA from 1 species
GACGAACGCUGGCGGCGUGCUUAACACAUGCAAGUCGAACGGAAAGGCCCUUCUUUUGUGGGGUGCUCGAGUGGCGAACGGGUGAGUAACACGUGAGUAACCUGCCCUUGACUUUGGGAUAACUUCAGGAAACUGGGGCUAAUACCGGAUAGGAGCUCCUGCUGCAUGGUGGGGGUUGGAAAGUUUCGGCGGUUGGGGAUGGACUCGCGGCUUAUCAGCUUGUUGGUGGGGUAGUGGCUUACCAAGGCUUUGACGGGUAGCCGGCCUGAGAGGGUGACCGGCCACAUUGGGACUGAGAUACGGCCCAGACUCCUACGGGAGGCAGCAGUGGGGAAUAGUGCACAAUGGGCGGAAGCCUGAUGCAGCAACGCCGCGUGCGGGAUGACGGCCUUCGGGUUGUAAACCGCUUUCGCCUGUGACGAAGCGUGAGUGACGGUAAUGGGUAAAGAAGCACCGGCUAACUACGUG